rnacentral:rRNA from 1 species
AUUGAACGCUGGCGGCAUGCCUUACACAUGCAAGUCGAACGGCAGCACGGAGCUUGCUCUGGUGGCGAGUGGCGAACGGGUGAGUAAUAUAUCGGAACGUACCCUAGAGUGGGGGAUAACGUAGCGAAAGUUACGCUAAUACCGCAUACGAUCUAAGGAUGAAAGUGGGGGAUCGCAAGACCUCAUGCUCGUGGAGCGGCCGAUAUCUGAUUAGCUAGUUGGUAGGGUAAAAGCCUACCAAGGCAUCGAUCAGUAGCUGGUCUGAGAGGACGACCAGCCACACUGGAACUGAGACACGGUCCAGACUCCUACGGGAGGCAGCAGUGGGGAAUUUUGGACAAUGGGCGAAAGCCUGAUCCAGCAAUGCCGCGUGAGUGAAGAAGGCCUUCGGGUUGUAAAGCUCUUUUGUCAGGGAAGAAACGGUGGGAGCUAAUAUCUCUUGCUAAUGACGGUACCUGAAGAAUAAGCACCGGCUAACUACGUGCCAGCAGCCGCGGUAAUACGUAGGGUGCAAGCGUUAAUCGGAAUUACUGGGCGUAAAGCGUGCGCAGGCGGUUUUGUAAGUCUGAUGUGAAAUCCCCGGGCUCAACCUGGGAAUUGCAUUGGAGACUGCAAGGCUAGAAUCUGGCAGAGGGGGGUAGAAUUCCACGUGUAGCAGUGAAAUGCGUAGAUAUGUGGAGGAACACCGAUGGCGAAGGCAGCCCCCUGGGUCAAGAUUGACGCUCAUGCACGAAAGCGUGGGGAGCAAACAGGAUUAGAUACCCUGGUAGUCCACGCCCUAAACGAUGUCUACUAGUUGUCGGGUCUUAAUUGACUUGGUAACGCAGCUAACGCGUGAAGUAGACCGCCUGGGGAGUACGGUCGCAAGAUUAAAACUCAAAGGAAUUGACGGGGACCCGCACAAGCGGUGGAUGAUGUGGAUUAAUUCGAUGCAACGCGAAAAACCUUACCUACCCUUGACAUGGCUGGAAUCCUUGAGAGAUCAGGGAGUGCUCGAAAGAGAACCAGUACACAGGUGCUGCGUGGCUGUCGUCAGCUCGUGUCGUGAGAUGUUGGGUUAAGUCCCGCAACGAGCGCAACCCUUGUCAUUAGUUGCUACGAAAGGGCACUCUAAUGAGACUGCCGGUGACAAACCGGAGGAAGGUGGGGAUGACGUCAAGUCCUCAUGGCCCUUAUGGGUAGGGCUUCACACGUCAUACAAUGGUACAUACAGAGCGCCGCCAACCCGCGAGGGGGAGCUAAUCGCAGAAAGUGUAUCGUAGUCCGGAUUGUAGUCUGCAACUCGACUGCAUGAAGUUGGAAUCGCUAGUAAUCGCGGAUCAGCAUGUCGCGGUGAAUACGUUCCCGGGUCU